CGCGGCCUAUCAGCUUGUUGGUGAGGUAACGGCCCACCAAGGCGACGACGGGUAGCUGGUCUGAGAGGACGACCAGCCACACUGGGACUGAGACACGGCCCAGACUCCUACGGGAGGCAGCAGUGGGGAAUCUUGCUCAAUGGGCGAAAGCCUGAAGCAGCGACGCCGCGUGCGGGAUGACGGCCCUCGGGUUGUAAACCGCUUUCAGCAGGGACGAAAUUGACGGUACCUGCAGAAGAAGGCCCGGCCAACUACGUGCCAGCAGCCGCGGUAGUACGUAGGGGCCUAGCGUUGUCCGGAUUUAUUGGGCGUAAGGAGCUCGUAGGCGGUUUGGUGAGUCGGGUGUGAAAUCUCCACGCUCAACGUGGAGGGGCCACCCGAUACUGCCAUGACUAGAGUCCGGUAGGGGAGUGUGGAAUUCCCGGUGUAGCGGUGAAAUGCGCAGAUAUCGGGAGGAACACCAGUAGCGAAGGCGACACUCCGGGCCGGUACUGACGCUGAGGAGCGAAAGCGUGGGGAGUAAACAGGAUGAGAUACCCUGGUAGUCCACGCUGUAGACGUUGGGCACUAGGUGUGGGACUCUAUCGACGGGUUCCGUGCCGUAGCUAACGCAUUAAGUGCCCCGCCUGGGGAGUACGG
rnacentral:rRNA from 1 species